rnacentral:rRNA from 1 species
GACGAACCACACAAACGUUAUUCGGAAUUACUGGGCUUAAAAGGUGCGUAGGCGGCGGGGCAAGUCUGAUGUGAAAUCCCGGGGCUCAACCCCGGAACUGCAUUGGAUACUGCCUUGCUAGAGUACUGGAGAGGGAACUGGAAUUUACGGUGUAGCAGUGAAAUGCGUAGAGAUCGUAAGGAAGGCCAGUGGCGAAGGCGAGUUCCUGGACAGUAACUGACGCUGAGGCACGAAGGCCAGGGGAGCAAACGGG